rnacentral:rRNA from 1 species
AAUGGGGGAAACCCUGAUGCAGCAACGCCGCGUGAGUGAUGACGGUCUUCGGAUUGUAAAGCUCUGUCUUCAGGGACGAUAAUGACGGUACCUGAGGAGGAAGCCACGGCUAACUACGUGCCAGCAGCCGCGGUAAUACGUAGGUGGCAAGCGUUGUCCGGAUUUACUGGGCGUAAAGGGAGCGUAGGUGGAUAUUUAAGUGGGAUGUGAAAUACUCGGGCUUAACCUGGGUGCUGCAUUCCAAACUGGAUAUCUAGAGUGCAGGAGAGGAAAGUAGAAUUCCUAGUGUAGCGGUGAAAUGCGUAGAGAUUAGGAAGAAUACCAGUGGCGAAGGCGACUUUCUGGACUGUAACUGACACUGAGGCUCGAAAGCGUGGGGAGCAAA